rnacentral:rRNA from 1 species
CCUACGGGAGGCAGCAGUGGGGAAUAUUGGGCAAUGGGCGCAAGCCUGACCCAGCAACGCCGCGUGAAGGAAGAAGGCUUUCGGGUUGUAAACUUCUUUUCUCAGGGACGAAGCAAGUGACGGUACCUGAGGAAUAAGACACGGCUAACUACGUGCCAGCAGCCGCGGUAAUACGUAGGUGGCAAGCGUUAUGCGGAUUUACUGUGUGUAAAGGGCGGGUAGGCGGGAAAGCAAGUCAGAUGUGAAAACCAGGGGCUCAACCUGUGGCCUGCAUUUGAAACUGUUUUUCUUGAGUACUGGAGAGGCAGACGGAAUUCCUAGUGUAGCGGUGAAAUGCGUAGAUAUUAGGAGGAACACCAGUGGCGAAGGCGGUCUGCUGGACAGCAACUGACGCUGAGGCGCGAAAGCGUGGGGAGCAAACAGGAUUAGAUACCCGGGUAGUC